rfam:Catonella morbi ATCC 51271 genomic scaffold Scfld0, whole genome shotgun sequence.
UCUGGUGGCGAUGCGCCCGGGGGUAACACCCGUUCUCAUCCCGAACACGAAGGUUAAGGCCCGGGCGGCCGAUGGUACUGCACUGGAGACGGUGUGGGAGAGUAGGUGGCUGCCAGAC